AGAGACCAGCCAGGUUGACUUCUACUCCAGAAUCUAUCUGCAUCCUUGUUACAAGAUGAAGACAAACACAAUGAUCCGUUUGAUGUCAUUGAUGUCUAUCUGGAUGUGGACCGGAGAAGGUCAGAUAUUCCAGCCUGAGCUUGCAUCUAAUGCUUUCCUAGCCAAGGUCACCAGUAAUACAGUGAUACUGAAGCAGCCGUAUUGUGUAUUUAAUCAGCCGUGCUCUGGCUGUGAGAUAUGGCUGGUGGCUGGCCUGUGCUCAGCAAACGGCACCUUUGAUGCUCUAGUACACAGCUCAACUACCAACAUCCUCAGCUUGUCACCCUACCCAACAGCAUUCAACCCAUCAUCAAACAACUUCUUUCUGACCAGAGUUGGACUUCUGUCAGACUUCCCCUGUAAUCAGUACCCCAAUGAUCGCUACUUCGUAGUCGGCGCUGAUGGGAUUUGUAGUGGCGUCAACUGUAAUGGAGUAUUACCUGAUGGAUCCAUCGUUUGUUUCAAGUAUCUUCUAAUCGAUGCUAAUGGGGCUCUUGUCAAUUCGUCAAACUGGUCUGGCAACAUUACUCUUCCCAAACUACUACCCCUUCACACUAUUUAUGAUGGUCUGAGUGCGAGAUCUGGUGCCAUGGUUGUAAUUACUACCAUCCUAUGUGUGGCUGCGGCUCUGCUUUUACUUCUUUUCCUCAUCAUGUUAUGUGUUACCUGCUGUACCAAGAAAGACGGUAAGCAAAUCUCAGUCAUGAACUCAAUCCGUAUCCCUCGCUAUGACACCCACAACCUAAAGGAUAGUGUGCACCCCUACGACAACCCUGCUUACCAGUCGGACUUGAAAAAUUACUCCACAUCAUCCACUCUGCCCAAGGAUGGCGCACAAAAGCUGUGAGCUCCCAAAGACACCAUCACUGCACUGCAUAUUCCAGGGGAAAGCAAAACUACUUUGCAGUAUUUUCUCUUUCAUUGUUAGUUACAAGGCAAAAUAGAGGACAGGAAGUAAACUUGAAAUUAACCCAUCAACUCUAUGGCACUCACAUCUUGUAUAUAUUACAUUGCUGUUUUGCCUCAGAAAUGUUUCCUGUGUAGUAUCAAACCAGAAUGGUAUAAAAGCUUCUUUUUAGUCAUCAUCUUCCAGCUUUUUGUAAACUCUUGUGACCUCAGUAUUGUUUGCGAUCAAAGGAGCAGGUGGAACAGAACUGCACUACACUGACUACAACAUGCAAAUGCACUAGAUGGCGCUGUUUAGUAGGAAAUAUGCGGUAGAGUGACAGUCAUACUGUAGUAUUUACUAGUGCAGUGUUUUCUAACCUUUAUUGUCUUAGGGGGUCAUAUAGGUCUAAAUAACCCUUUAUCAACAAACCAG
rnacentral:lncRNA from 1 species